rnacentral:rRNA from 1 species
GUUAUCCGGAAUUAUUGGGCGUAAAGAGCUCGUAGGCGGUUUGUCGCGUCUGCUGUGAAAGACCGGGGCUCAACUCCGGUUCUGCAGUGGGUACGGGCAGACUAGAGUGCAGUAGGGGAGACUGGAAUUCCUGGUGUAGCGGUGAAAUGCGCAGAUAUCAGGAGGAACACCGAUGGCGAAGGCAGGUCUCUGGGCUGUAACUGACGCUGAGGAGCGAAAGCUAGGGGAGCAAACAGG